rnacentral:rRNA from 1 species
GACGAACGCUGGCGGCGUGCCUAAUACAUGCAAGUAGAACGCUGAAGGAGGAGCUUACUUCUCUGGAUGAGUUGCGAACGGGUGAGUAACGCGUAGGUAACCUGCCUGGUAGCGGGGGAUAACUAUUGGAAACGAUAGCUAAUACCGCAUAAGAGUAGAUGUUGCAUGACAUUACUUAAAAGGUGCAAUUGCACCACUACCAGAUGGACCUGCGUUGUGUUAGCUAGUUGGUGGGGUAACGGCUUACCAAGGCGACGAUACAUAGCCGACCUGAGAGGGUGAUCGGCCACUCUGGGACUGAGACACGGCCCAGACUCCGACGGGAGGCAGCAGUAGGGAAUCUUCGGCAAUGGACGGAAGUCUGACCGAGCAACGCCGCGUGAGUGAAGAAGGUUUUCGGAUCGUAAAGCUCUGUUGUAAGAGAAGAACGAGUGUGAGAGUGGAAAGUUCACACUGUGACGGUAUCUUACCAGAAAGGGACGGCUAACUACGUGCCAGCCGCCGCCGUAA